rnacentral:rRNA from 1 species
GUGCCAGCCGCCGCGGUAAUACGUAGGGUGCGAGCGUUAAUCGGAAUUACUGGGCGUAAAGCGUGCGCAGGUGGUUCGUCAAGUCUGAUGUGAAAGCCCCGGGCUCAACCUGGGAACUGCAUUGGAAACUAGCGGGCUUGAGUGUGGCAGAGGGGGGUGGAAUUCCACGUGUAGCAGUGAAAUUGCGUAGAGAUGUGGAGGAACACCGAUGGCGAAGGCAGCCCCCUGGGCUAACACUGACGCUCAUGCACGAAAGCGUGGGGAGCAAACAGGAUUAGAUACCCCAGUAGUCCUAGCUGUAAACAAUGGAUACUAGAUGUUGAACAGAUCGACCUGUGCAGUAUUAAAGCUAACGCGUUAAGUAUCCCGCCUGGGAAGUAUGCUCGCAAGAGUGAAACUCAAAGGAAUUGACGG